rnacentral:lncRNA from 1 species
GUUUCAUAGAAGAGGUCAUAAUGAGAGGAGGUGACCUGCUCAGAGUCACAUGGAUAAUGGAGACGUGGUAUGAGCUACUCCUGAAAACAAUGAUGGAAUGAAUGCAUUUUAAGUCCUUUGAGAAACACUGGUUCUGAGAGUUGUAAUCAGAAGUCGAAAAUUGGAAGUCACUGGACAGAUCAGAGAAAACAAGAAGAGCGAGGUCAGCAGUCUGAAGCUACGUCACAGUCAUUCAAUCUGUGCUCCCUGUGUACCUUCAUACCGUCCACAAGGCUCCUCACCAUCUCCGUCUGGGCUGCUAUCUCUUCCAUCAGUCUGGAGUCCCAAAGCACAGGGCAGUGGCAGUUGAAAUGACUUGGACAUGAAUUUAAGACAGGUAUGUCAUCCUGGUGCAACCAUGAUGAGAUCAGGAAAAGGAGGAAUAUAGCCAGAAGCAGAGAAAUGCUGCCGCUGAGCGGGUCUACUCUCAUUGCUGCCAAGACAGAAAAUUCU